rnacentral:rRNA from 1 species
UCGCUCCUACUGAUUGAGUCAACUGGUGAACUCCAUGGACAGCAGCACAGCCCAGAGCCUGAGCGUUGCAUCAUGAAUAUGAGUGAACCUUUUUCACUCAGGGGAAGGAU